rnacentral:rRNA from 1 species
GCAUACUACGUGCCGGCAGACGGGGUAAACGGUGGGGGUCGGUGGUUAAUCGGAAGUUAUGGGCGUAAAGCGUCGGCAGGCUGUUUUGCAAGCCGGAUGUGAAAUGCCCGGGCUUAAGCUGGGAAUGGCAUUUGGGACUGCAAGGCUGGAGUGCGGCAGAGGAGACUGGAAUUCCUGGUGUAGCAGUGAAAUGCGUAGAUAUCAGGAGGAAUACCGAUGGCGAAGGCAGGUCUCUGGGCUGACACUGACGCUCAUGCACGAAAGCGUGGGGAGCAAACAGGAUUAGAUACCCGGGUAGUC